GAUGAACGCUGGCGGCGUGCCUAAUACAUGCAAGUCGAACGAAACUUCUUUAUCACCGAGUGCUUGCACUCACCGAUAAAGAGUUGAGUGGCGAACGGGUGAGUAACACGUUGGCAACCUGCCCAAAAGUGGGGGAUAACACUUUGAAACAGGUGCUAAUACCGCAUAACCAUAGUUACCGCAUGGUAACUAUGUAAAAGGUGGCUAUACUACCGCUUUUGGAUGGGCCCGCGGCGCAUUAGCUAGUUGGUAGGGUAAAGGCUUACCAAGGCAAUGAUGCGUAGCCGAAUUGAGAGGUUGAUCGGCCACAUUGGGACUGAGACACGGCCCAAACUCCUACGGGAGGCAGCAGUAGGGAAUCUUCCACAAUGGGCGAAAGCCUGAUGGAGCAACGCCGCGUGGGUGAAGAAGGUCUUCGGAUCGUAAAACCCUGUUGUUAGAGAAGAAAGUGCGUGAGAGUAACUGUUCACGUUUCGACGGUAUCUAACCAGAAAGCCACGGCUAACUACGUG
rnacentral:rRNA from 1 species